rnacentral:rRNA from 1 species
AGAGUUUGAUCCUGGCUCAGGAUGAACGCUGGCGGCGUGCCUAAUACAUGCAAGUCGAGCGAACAGACGAGGAGCUUGCUCCUUUGACGUUAGCGGCGGACGGGUGAGUAACACGUAGGUAACCUACCUAUAAGACUGGGAUAACUUCGGGAAACCGGAGCUAAUACCGGAUAAUAUUUCGAACCGCAUGGUUCGAUAGUGAAAGAUGGCUUUGCUAUCACUUAUAGAUGGACCUGCGCCGUAUUAGCUAGUUGGUAAGGUAACGGCUUACCAAGGCAACGAUACGUAGCCGACCUGAGAGGGUGAUCGGCCACACUGGAACUGAGACACGGUCCAGACUCCUACGGGAGGCAGCAGUAGGGAAUCUUCCGCAAUGGGCGAAAGCCUGACGGAGCAACGCCGCGCGAGUGAUGAAGGUCUUCGGAUCGUAAAACUCUGUUAUUAGGGAAGAACAAACGUGUAAGUAACUGUGCACGUCUUGACGGUACCUAAUCAGAAAGCCACGGCUGACUACGUGCCAGCAGCCGCGGCAAUACGUAGGUGGCAAGCGUUAUCCGGAAUUAUUGGGCGUAAAGCGCGCGUAGGCGGUUUUUUAAGUCUGAUGUGAAAGCCCACGGCUCAACCGUGGAGGGUCAUUGGAAACUGGAAAACUUGAGUGCAGAAGAGGAAAAGUGGAAUUCCAUGUGUAGCGGUGAAAUGCGCAGAAAUAUGGAGGAACACCAGUGGCGAAGGCGACUUUCUGUCUGUAACUGACGCUGAUGUGCGAAAGCGUGGGGAUCAAACAGGAUUAGAUACCCUGGUAGUCCACGCCGGUAAACGAUGAGUGGCUAAGUGUUAGGGGGGUUUUCCGCCUCCUUAGUGCUGCAGCUUAA